AUACCAUCGUCUGCCCAGUUGCAGUCACCAAAACAAACAUUUAAUUGCAAAAAGUAAGCAUCUACCUAGAGUCUUGAGGCUGCCUUUGCCAAACGAAGAGGUACCAAGCAGCCACGUGUAUCUUUUUCCCUCAGUUUUCUAGAGAUAGCCUUAGAGGGCUCAAAAACGCUAAAAGAUGUGUCCACGUCUGCAACUCACCAGUUUCAGGUCACGGCCAACUUCCAUCAAUAUAGCUCUCAGAAGUUUUCUGCCACUAGAAUGCCAUUCCUGAUCCCAGCUCUCUUUAUAGGCCACCAUGAUAACUUCUUUGGUUUCUCCACUGAGCAUGCAACCAUUUACCUUAGAGGACUGUCAUUAAUGAGUAGAUGUUUUCUCUAGUUGUGUGACGUGCUUUCCAUUUGAUAGUAUUGCUGUGGCUGAGUACAAUCAAAUUGAACCACAAACCACUGGUUUUGUAGUAAUACAAUUAUUUAUUUUCCCAGUAUAGAUGCUUCCGGAUUAGCAUUAGCACUGAUUUUUUAUGUAGAUUUAUAUAAAUAUAAAUACAUAUAUAUUUGCUUGAUGAAUCACCAAGCACCUUGGUGAGAGGGUCUUUUCCUAUAGAAUUCACUCAUCCAUUUUGUUGUGUCGUCCUGCUCUUCCCAAUGUUGAGGUCUCUAUGGCUCCAAAGAACUGGUGUAUUUUGCAGCAAAUCCAAUGACAUAUAGGGAAAUGGCAUGAAAGUCACCCAGAUCACAUCUGGUGCAAAUGCACCUGGAGCCUUGGGCCAGAUUGGUGCUAACACUGCAAACUUUGUCCGGAGCUCUCUCCAAUCUGAAGGCUCGCUGGGGGCACAGUGUCACCUUCACAUGCUGGGCCCUUUCGGAAAAGUGCCAGAUCGUGUCACUGGUGCUAUUUUUCAUGCUCUGGUACAAUGUGUAGCACCAUGGGGGUCUCAGCUUUACCAAAACCGAAAUCCCACCUGUCAGCCAAUUAUUGCUGAGGCAUUUGCAUAUUGCUCUUUUCCAUGAGAUAGGAUGGCCUAUUCUUUGAAGGCCCUUUCUCCCAGACCCAAAUUCAGGGGUUGGCUCUAUCCACUUUGCAAACCCAUCUAGAUGAAGCUACACUCGGGUGCCUCUGUGAGCUGUCUUAGACCCUACUGCCAGCCCUUCAGGACAGAGUCAACGGAUGCUCUGUACACCUCUGGUUCUCAUCUCUUUCUCCUCCUCAGUUUUCCUCCUCAUCUCCUCUCAUCAUCUGCCAUUUUGACCUUCUCUUUUUAUCCUUCCUGGGUUGUUGAACUUGCCCCUCCCUCUCUUUCCUCUGUCUGUCUUUUUCUGUCCCUCUCUCCUUUCUCCAUCUCCUGUUCCCCUUACUCCUCCUCCUCCCAGACAUGCCCUCCCUCCCUCCUCUCUCAUCUCACACAGUUCUGGUCAUCAGUACAUCCGGCUCCUUAGUUUUCCUGUCCUAUAAAGGGCACACGGCUGAUUCAGACAGCAAGUCCACACAGUGGACUAAUGACAUAAAUACUUGGGGUCACCAUUUAUUUACUCAGCCCAGAAAACAAAGCUGAGUGUGAGGCCCUCACCUGGAGCCAGUCUGCACCACUGCCCCAGCAGUGCUGAUGCAGGAGCUGUGGGCCCCGGCACCUAACUCACUCCCAGCACCGCCCAGGCUGAGGAUGCUUCCUUUCCACAGAGGCAAACUCUGGCCCCAACAACUAUUCUAAUGAACCUCAUUGAAGCCAUGACACCGCCCUGGUUUGGAGAGAGAUUUUUCCCUCUAUAUUCUUUUUCCCGUUUCCAUGUGAAGCCCCUCUGCUUUUCAGCUGGCGAUUGCUCUGGUGAGACUGAAUGGACUUGCUAGCGAAAUGACAUCUUUUUUUUUUUUCCUGUCUUGGUCCUGCCUAAAAUUCCUACAAAAGAAAAAAAAAGCAUUUAAGUCAAGGACUAAGGCUAAAUUUAUUAUACUAAUGAGUCACUCCUGGGGAGACAUCAGUUCCCUUAAAGCAUGUGGAGUACCUCCUGUGACAACUGAUUUUCCAGGAAACUCCAUAGAGAAUUCUGUGGAUAUGCAUUAAUUAUUUAAGGGUAUGGUAUACGUGGUAUGCAUACCACGUAUACACAUUACCUGAGGUAAGAUUCAAUGUGGUUGGAAACACAUACACACUUCAGUCUGUAAAUAUUCUUCCUCACUGAAACCUGUGCUUCAGAAACCAUUUCUCGUACAGCUGUGCAGUUUAUUGUAGCAGCUGGAGACAAGCUAAGGCAGGCAGUGAAUUUAGACUAAGAUCAGCUGAAAGAGUAGUUUCUCCCUUGCAGCUCACAAGGACAGACAGCUAAGUGGCGAGGUUGACUCCCAAUGGGAUGGCGAACUUUUCUUCUUUUCAAAUUUGUGUUUCCUAAGUGUAUCUUAACUUCUGAGUGCACCAGGUUGUACCCAUUAGAUCCUUUUACUAUGACAAUUUUGUGCUUCUCUCUGACAGGAUGCUUCUCCAUCAAGCUGUAAUGCAGGAUGGGAGGGGAGGGAAGGAGGGAGGGGGAAUUACUCCUUGCCUGGCUGGAGUUUACAGAGACACUGCACAGCUUACACUCCUGUUAAGUGUAAAUAUUCAACACUUCCAUUCCAUUUGUGUAAAAAAUAAAGCACACACGAUUAUAAAAUCAAGAUGUAUAUUUCAUACUCCGUGUGUCCAUGAAUAUUUUUUGCGUUUCCAGAUGUUGGUUGAGGCCGCAUUGUAAAAAUGCCUGAUAGAGUGUUUAUUAUAAACAUGCCGUGGUUUUCUUAUAUAAAUAUUAAAACAAUUUCUACUUUAUAGCAAAAUUAUAUUCUCCA
rnacentral:lncRNA from 1 species